ensembl:snRNA U6 U6 spliceosomal RNA
UUUGCUUCAGCAGUACAUGUUAAAAUUUGAAAAAUAUACAGUACAUUAACAUAACCCUUGCGCAAGAUGACACACAAAUUCGUGAAGCAUUCUUCUCUUAA